rnacentral:miRNA from 1 species
UCUGACAGGAAUUCUGGCUUCUG